CACGGAAGUAGUGCAGGGAGCCACCCAGGAUGCGGAAAGCUUUGCCUUCCAGGGUCAGCUGGGUCCCGUUGGCCUUGAGGCCCACUCGCCUUGUCAUCGUCCUUGCUCCAGGCUGGACCCUGGCACACACUACGGGGGAGCCAGAGGACCGGCUGUGCCACAUGAUCAAACCUUCUCGCAGACUCUCACUGAGAGUGACUUGCAUCGCCCACAGCUGUACAUGCUCCCGUUUCAUCCAGACAACUCGGCUGCGGCUCCUCUGACUCUACGCUGUCGGGGACUAAAGCGAAUCGAGGCAGACGCAGCUGGCCUUGAUGCUGACUCUCCAGCCACGUCUCUCUCUCUCUCUCUCUCUCUCUCUCUCUCUCUCUCUCUCUCUCUCUCUCUCUCCCCCCCUCUCCCCUUCCCGGAGCUCCAGGGAAAUGAAUACACUGAGAUAACGGCGGCCCCGGAUUGUUCAGGACACAAUCGUCGGCGCGGCAAUCCCGCUGAUAAGAUGCUUGGCCGUGCUGCCAUCUGCCAACCGCCAGCUCAGUGUUCCCAGAGGGGGCCGGGAACGAGGACGCAGCCCAGCGGUAACACUGUGACACCAGCAUCUCUUUGCACCCAGAAAGAGCAGCGUCCAGCUUCGUCUAUUUCGUGCCGCAGAAAUAAUAUGGAAAGAGCCCGAGGGCAGUGAUUUUCCCCCCACUGCCCUGAGAUGAUCCUGGAGAGGAGCCUAUGACAGACACAGAGGCAGUAUUCUCUUCCUAACGCCCCCGAUGAGUCACGACCCGUCGAUCAGCAUGACUGACAGCCCUCAGACGUUCCUGUGCGGCGGCCGUUUGCCAUUUUUAUGGCUGGUGGGGGCAUGGAAAGCUGCUGCCUUCUGGCUUUACUGGGAUUUCCUACUCUGGCUUUUCCCCUCGUUCUCUGGUAUGUUUUCCAACAGUGAGAAUUGCCGUAUGCUUUAAUUAUUUUUUUUUGCAUAUAAACACAGAAAGUUUAAAUGGUAAUUAAAAGCCCGGGAUGUGUGAAAUGCACUUCUGCUGGUCCUUCUGGGUCGGGACCCCAUCUACCUGCUAUUUCCGCUCGUCACCGUUUCCAGGUUCGUAAGUCCUGUCCGAGAGUCGCACCAGCAAGCCGCAGAUUCGAAUCCUGAAGAUUUAUCCUGCUCGGAAUGGCUCAUAAGCGAGAGCAAUUUAAAAGGUUAUAAAACCGUAACAGCAGGGUGUGCAUGCGAUGACCUGGGAGACACUCGCGAGUAGUGGCACACACAUGCAGAACGGCAUGCUGGGGAUCCUCACACCCCCCCCCCACUGGGGCUCCACCAAUGAGCCCAGGAGCCCAGAGUGUGUAAAUUGGCAGCAAUGAGAUAUUGACUGGCUGGCGAAUAUGUCACGGUCGACUGAGCCCUGAGAAUUUUCCCCCAGCAGGAAAAAAAAAAAAAAACAGGAGCCACGUUCUUUGACGCCACCAGGGGGCGCUCUCUCGCCGUUCCCUUUCUCUCCCGACACCCAUGCGUCCGUUUGAAGGGCACACGCCUCCCACUGGUAGGAAUGCGGCGCGAUGUUUAUU